rnacentral:rRNA from 1 species
UACGUAGGGGGCUAGCGUUGUCCGGAAUCAUUGGGCGUAAAGAGCGUGUAGGCGGUCCGGUAAGUCCGCUGUGAAAGUCGGGGGCUCAACCCUCGAAUGCCGGUGGAUACUGUCGGGCUAGAGUGCGGAAGAGGCGAGUGGAAUUCCUGGUGUAGCGGUGAAAUGCGUAGAUAUCGAGAGGAACACCUGCGGCGAAGGCGGGUUGCUGGGCUGACACUGACGCUGAGGCGCGAAAGCUAGGGGAGCGAACGGG